UGCAGUCGACGGAAGGCCCUUCGGGGUACUCGAGUGGCGAACGGGUGAGUAACACGUGGGUGAUCUGCCCUGCACUUUGGGAUAAGCCUGGGAAACUGGGUCUAAUACCGAAUAGGACCGCAUGCUUCAUGGUGUGUGGUGGAAAGCUUUUGCGGUGUGGGAUGGGCCCGCGGCCUAUCAGCUUGUUGGUGGGGUAAUGGCCUACCAAGGCGACGACGGGUAGCCGGCCUGAGAGGGUGACCGGCCACACUGGGACUGAGAUACGGCCCAGACUCCUACGGGAGGCAGCAGUGGGGAAUAUUGCACAAUGGGCGCAAGCCUGAUGCAGCGACGCCGCGUGAGGGAUGACGGCCUUCGGGUUGUAAACCUCUUUCGCCAGGGACGAAGCGCAAGUGACGGUACCUGGAGAAGAAGGACCGGCCAACUACGUGCCAGCAGCCGCGGUAAUACGUAGGGUCCGAGCGUUGUCCGGAAUUACUGGGCGUAAAGAGCUCGUAGGUGGUUUGUCGCGUUGUUCGUGAAAACUCACAGCUUAACUGUGGGCGUGCGGGCGAUACGGGCAGACUUGAGUACUGCAGGGGAGACUGGAAUUCCUGGUGUAGCGGUGGAAUGCGCAGAUAUCAGGAGGAACACCGGUGGCG
rnacentral:rRNA from 1 species